rnacentral:rRNA from 1 species
CACGGAGUUAGCCGGUGCUUAUUCAUCUGAUACCGUCAACACUCUUAGAAAAAGUGGUUUCUUCUCAAAUAAAAGAAGUUUACAACGCAGAACGCCUUCAUCCUUCACGCGGCAUGGCUGGUUCAGACUUCCGUCCAUUGACCAAUAUUCCUCACUGCUGCCUCCCGUAGGAGUCGGGCCCGUGUCUCAGUGCCCGUGUGGCUGAUCAUGCUCUCACAUCAGCUAAAGAUCGUCGCCUUGGUAAGCCGUUACCUUACCAACUAGCUAAUCUUACGCACACCCAUCUCUAUCCGAAGUUCUUUAAUUAUCUAAUGAUGCCAUCAAAUAAUACUAUGGGGCAUUAAUCCAAAUUUCUCUGGGCUAUUCCCCUGAUAAAGGUAGGUUGUGUACGUGUUCCGCACCCGUUUGCCGGUCUCAAAUAGCCGAAGCCAUUUUUACCCCUCGACUUGCAUGUGUUAAGCCUGCCGCUAGCGUUCAUCCUGAGCCAGGAUCAAACUCU